rnacentral:rRNA from 1 species
GGUUCGAUCCUGGCUCAGAUUGAACGCUGGCGGGAUGCUACACAUGCAAGUCGAACGGCAGCACGGACUUCGGUCUGGUGGCGAGUGGCGAACGGGUGAGUAAUGUAUCGGAACGUGCCUAGUAGCGGGGGAUAACUACGCGAAAGCGUAGCUAAUACCACAUACGCCCUUCGAGAAAGCGGGGGACCUUCGGGCCUCGCACUAUUAGAAGCGGCCGAUAUCGGAUUAGCUAGUUGGUGGGGUAACGGCUCGCAAGGCGACGAUCCGUAGCUGGUUUUGAGAGGACGACCAGCCACACUGGGACUGAGACACGGCCCAGACUCUGCGGGAGGCGGCAGUGGGGAAUUUUGGACAAUGGGGGGAAACCUGAUCCAGCCAUCCCGCGUGUGCGAUGAAGGCCUUCGGGUUGUAAAAAAGCACUUUUGGCAGGAAAGAAACGGCACGGGAUAAUACCCCACGUGCAACUGACGAAACACCUGCAGAAUAAGCACCGGCUAACUACGUGCCAGCAGCCGCGGUAAUACGUAGGGUGCAAGCGUUAAUCGGAAUUACUGGGCGUAAAGCGUGCGCAGGCGGUUCGGAAAGAAAGAUGUGAAAUCCCAGAGCUUAACUUUGGAACUGCAUUUUUAACUACCGAACAGAGUGUGUCAGAGGGAGGUGGAAUUCCGCGUGUAGCAGUGAAAUGCGUAGAUAUGCGGAGGAACACCGAUGGCGAAGGCAGCCUCCUGGGAUAACACUGACGCUCAUGCGAAAGCGUGGGGAGCAAACAGGAUUAGGCCCUGGUAGUCCACGCCCUAAACGAUGUCAACUAGCUGUUGGGGCCUUCGGAGCCUUGGUAGCGCAGCUAACGCGUGAAGUUGACCGCCUGGGGAGUACGGUCGCAAGAUUAAAACUCAAAGGAAUUGACGGGGACCCGCACAAGCGGUGGAUGAUGUGGAUUAAUUCGAUGCAACGCGAAAAAACCUUACCUACCCUUGACAUGUCUGGAAUCCCGAAGAUUUGGGAGUGCUCGCAAGAGAACCGGAACACAGGUGCUGCAUGGCUGUCGUCAGCUCGCGUCGUGAGAUGUUGGGUUAAAUCCACCAACGAGCGCAACCCUUGUCAUUAGUUGCUACGAAGGGCGCUCUAAUGCGGGACUACCGGUGACAAACCGGAGAAGGUGAGGAUGACGUCGGGGCCCUCAUGGCCCUUAUGGGUAGGGCUUCACACGUCAUACAAUGGUCGGGACAGAGGGUCGCCAACCCGCGAGGAGCCAAUCCCAGAAACCCGAUCGUAGUCGGAUCGCAGUCUGCAACUCGACUGCGUGAAGUCGGAAUCGCUAGUAAUCGCGGAUCAGCAUGUCAUGAUGAAUACGUUC